rnacentral:tRNA from 1 species
GGGGAGGUUCCCGAGUGGUCAAAGGGGGCAGACUGUAAAUCUGCUGGCGAAGCCUUCAGAGGUUCAAAUCCUCUCCUCCCCACCA